rnacentral:lncRNA from 1 species
UUGGACAAGUGCCGGAAUACCGGCAACUCCCAGCAUCCAUCGCCAAGUUCCCGGCACCUGAGAAAAAGGAUCAAAUAAGAUAAAAUACCGACAAGGACAGUCGGACAGAACAAUUUUUACGUACCCUAGUGAAUCCGAGAUUGACGAGGUAUGCCAGGAACUGUCCUCCGGUUAUGAGAAGUCCAUUGGUGCUAACAAGAGCGCCUCUGAUUUUUGCAGGAGAAGCCUCGGAGAUGUAAAGAGGAGAUGUCAUAGAAGCCAUUCCAACACCGAAUCCGACAAAAAUUCUACCCAGGAUAAUAACCCCAGGGGAAGGUGCAACCGCCAUGACUAUAGCUCCAAUGAAGAACAACACAUCAGCUAAC